UCUUUGUUAGUAUAUCGGUUAGUACACGCGCCUGUCAUAAGUCUAUCGCACUCAAAUAACGCGCGAAAGCUGGGUUCGACUCCCAGACAGAGAG